GGAGAGCUGGCAGAGUGGUUGAAUGUACCUGAUUCGAAAUCAGGCGUGCUCGCAAGGGUACCGGGGGUUCGAAUCCCCCGCUCUCCGCCA
rnacentral:tRNA from 2 species